GUGGGGAAUAUUGGACAAUGGGCGCAAGCCUGAUCCAGCCAUGCCGCGUGAGUGAUGAAGGCCUUAGGGUUGUAAAGCUCUUUCAGUGGGGACGAUAAUGACGGUACCCACAGAAGAAGCCCCGGCUAACUUCGUGCCAGCAGCCGCGGUAAUACGAAGGGGGCUAGCGUUGUUCGGAUUUACUGGGCGUAAAGCGCACGUAGGCGGAUCGUUAAGUCGGGGGUGAAAUCCUGGAGCUCAACUCCAGAACUGCCUUCGAUACUGGCGAUCUUGAGUCCGGAAGAGGUGAGUGGAACUCCUAGUGUAGAGGUGGAAUUCGUAGAUAUUAGGAAGAACACCGGUGGCGAAGGCGGCUCACUGGUCCGGUACUGACGCUGAGGUGCGAAAGCGUGGGGAGCAAACAGGAUUAGAUACCCGGGUAGUCC
rnacentral:rRNA from 1 species